CUCUACUAUUAUCUAGUAUUACUAUAUUUUUCCAUUAACAUAAAAAAGCAUAUUCUUUCUCAUUUUUAUUGAAUAAAUAAAAGUAAUAAAUAAGCAAAAUUUUCAUUUUUAUCUAGAAUUUAAAUUGUAAAAAAAAAAAAAAAACUUCAUAAAAGAUUAGGAAAAGUAAAAGUAUAUGAUAUAGAAACCUAUAAUAUAAAUGAAUACAAAUAAAAACAAACAAAUCGAACCAAAUUAUAAAAAGUACUUGUUAUUUUUAAAGUUUAAAGAAACUAUGUAAGGCAAAUAGUACUAAAUAAAAAAAGGAGCAAUAACGCCCUCUUGUUUUAUCAAGAGGGAAGCUAUUGCUCCUUUUUUAGUUCAAAAACUCCUAUACAAUCAGACCAAAGUC
rnacentral:misc_RNA from 1 species